rnacentral:rRNA from 1 species
UAGGGAAUAUUGCGCAAUGGGGGCAACCCUGACGCAGCAACUCCACGUGUGGGAUGAAGCAUUUCGGUGUGUAAACCACUGUCGAGAGGGAAUAAUUCGGCCUUUCGGGGCCGUUGAAUGUACCUUUAAAGGAAGCACCGGCAAACUUCGUGCCAGCAGCCGCGGUAAUACGAGGGGUGCAAGCGUUGUUCGGAAUCACUGGGCGUAAAGGGAGCGUAGGCGGGCCGCCAAGCGUUCUGUGCAAUCCCGGGGCCCAACCCCGGACCCGCAGAGCGAACUGGCGUCCUUGAGUGGUUCAGAGGCCGGCGGAAUUCCUGGUGUAGCGGUGGAAUGCGUAGAUAUCAGGAAGAACACCGAUGGCGAAGGCAGCCGGCUGGGGACCCACUGACGCUGAGGCUCGAAAGCGUGGGAAGCAAACAGGA